AGCAGCGAGGCCUAGUGGUAAGAGCGCAGGCCUGGGAGUCAGAGGACCUGGGUUCUAAUCCCGGCUCUGCCG
rfam:Ornithorhynchus anatinus chromosome 3, whole genome shotgun sequence.